GUGUGUAGCUCAGCUGGUGAGAGUGUGGUGCUGACCAUGCCAAGGUUGCAGGUUCGAUUCCCCAUAAGGGACA